GGGUCCGGACACACUGAGGAUUGACAGGCAAUAUUAAUACGUUUUGCUUCGGUAAACGCGUAUUAUGUUAAAUAUGCUAGUCCUUUCAUGAUUAUGUGAUAGGUGGUGCAUGGCCGUUCUUAGUUCGUGGAGUGAUCUGUCUGCUUAAUUGCGUUUCACUAAGGGCCUAUAAAUUUACGUGUGUUGCAUCGCACUUUGACCCCUUUCUUUAAUUAGAGAGCGCGUGUCUUAGUUUUCGCUUUGCUCAUACAAUUAGGUCCUGAAAGCAACGAACGUGACCGCAACCUCUUGUUGCCUUUAUACCAAACAUGUUUUGCGUCAAUUUUUACGAAUUGCGCGCAUUUCAUGAAAAAAGGCUUUUUAAACUAGAGGGACCGCUGUUACUUUCUUAAACCAGAGGAAGGUUGCGGCAAUAACAGGUCUGUGAUGCCCUUAGAUGUUCCGGGCUGCACACGUGCUACAAUGAUUAUUGCAGUGAGCAUCUCAUUUUUACACACCGCAUGCACGAGUCCAUUUAUUCACCUUCGGGUGUUUUAAGUGUGUAUCUCUGCGCGCGGUAAAGCCUGCUUCGACAGUAAGUGGGU
rnacentral:rRNA from 1 species